rnacentral:rRNA from 1 species
AACGAACGCUGGCGGCAUGCCUAACACAUGCAAGUCGAACGAGACCUUCGGGUCUAGUGGCGCACGGGUGCGUAACGCGUGGGAAUCUGCCCUUGGGUUCGGAAUAACAGUUAGAAAUGACUGCUAAUACCGGAUAAUGUCUUCGGACCAAAGAUUUAUCGCCCAGGGAUGAGCCCCGCGUAGGAUUAGCUAGUUGGUGAGGUAAAGGCUCACCAAGGCGACGAUCCUUAGCUGGUCUGAGAGGAUGAUCAGCCACACUGGGACUGAGACACGGCCCAGACUCCUACGGGAGGCAGCAGUGGGAAUAUUGGACAAUGGGCGAAAGCCUGAUCCAGCAAUGCCGCGUGAGUGAUGAAGGCCUUAGGGUUGUAAAGCUCUUUUACCCGGGAUGAUAAUGACAGUACCGGGAGAAUAAGCCCCCGGCUAACUCCGUGCCAGCAGCCGCGGUAAU